AGUAAUGUAUGGGGAUCUGCCCGAUAGAGGGGAUAACUACUGGAAACGGUGGCUAAUACCGCAUAAUGUCUACGGACCAAAGCAGGGGCUCUUCGGACCUUGCACUAUCGGAUGAACCCAUAUGGGAUUAGCUAGUAGGUGGGGUAAAGGCUCACCUAGGCGACGAUCUCUAGCUGGUCUGAGAGGAUGAUUAGCCACACUGGGACUGAGACACGGCCCAG
rnacentral:rRNA from 1 species